rnacentral:rRNA from 1 species
AACGAACGCUGGCGGCAUGCCUAACACAUGCCAGUCGAACGAGACCUUCGGGUCUAGUGGCGCACGGGUGCGUAACGCGUGGGAACCUGCCCUUAGGUUCGGAAUAACUCCCCGAAAGGGGUGCUAAUACCGGAUAAUGUCUUCGGACCAAAGAUUUAUCGCCUUUGGAUGGGCCCGCGUUGGAUUAGCUAGUUGGUAGGGUAAAAGCCUACCAAGGCGACGAUCCAUAGCUGGUCUGAGAGGAUGAUCAGCCACACUGAGACUGAGACACGGCCCAGACUCCUACGGGAGGCAGCAGUGGGGAAUAUUGGACAAUGGGCGAAAGCCUGAUCCAGCAAUGCCGCGUGAGUGAUGAAGGCCUUAGGGUUGUAAAGCUCUUUUACCCGGGAUGAUAAUGACAGUACCGGGAGAAUAAGCUCCGGCUAACUCCGUG